UCUGAAUUCACGAUAGCUAAGAUCCAAACUGGGAUUAGAUACCCCAUUAUGCUUAGCCCUAAACAUAAACAUUCAACAAACAAGAAUAUUCGCCAGAGUACUACUAGCAAUAGCCUGAAACUCAAAGGACUUGGCGGUGCUUUACACCCCUCUAGAGGAGCCUGUUCUAUAAUCGAUAAACCCCGAUACACCUCACCACCUUUAGCAAAUAUCAGCCUAUAUACCGCCAUCUACAGCAAACCCUAAAAAGGCCCUACAGUAAGCAAGAAAAUUUUACAUUAGUACGUUAGGUCAAGGUGUAGCCUAUAGGGUGGGAAGAAAUGGGCUACAUUUUCUAUUUUCCUAGAAUAACCCCACGAUAGCUUUUAUGAAACUCAGAGCAUAAGGCGGAUUUAGUAGUA
rnacentral:rRNA from 1 species